rnacentral:rRNA from 1 species
GACGAACGCUGGCGGCGUGCUUAACACAUGCAAGUCGAACGGAAAGGCCCUGCUUGCAGGGUACUCGAGUGGCGAACGGGUGAGUAACACGUGGGUGAUCUGCCCUGCACUUCGGGAUAAGCCUGGGAAACUGGGUCUAAUACCGGAUAGGAGCCAUUUUUAGUGUGAUGGUUGGAAAGUUUUUUCGGUGUAGGAUGAGCUCGCGGGCUAUCGGCUUGUUGGUGGGGUAAUGGCCUACCAAGGCGGCGACGGGUAGCCGGCCUGGGGGGGUGGACGGCCGCAUUGGGACUGAGGUACGGCCCAGACUCCGACGGGUGGCAGCAGGGGGGAAUAUUGCACAAGGGGCGCAAGCCGGAUGCAGCGACGCCGCGGGGGGGAGGACGGCCUUCGGGUUGAAAACUCAUUUCGCUAGGAACGAGGCUUUUUGUGACGGUACCUAGAUAAGAAGCACCGGCUAACUACGUG